UACAGAGGGGGCAAGCGUUGUUCGGAAUUACUGGGCGUAAAGGGCGCGUAGGCGGCCUUCUAAGUCGAACGUGAAAUCCCCGGGCUCAACCCGGGAACUGCGUCCGAGACUGAAAGGCUUGAAUCCGGGAGAGGGAUGUGGAAUUCCAGGUGUAGCGGUGAAAUGCGUAGAUAUCUGGAGGAACAUCGGUGGCGAAGGCGGCAUCCUGGACCGGUAUUGACGCUGAGGCGCGAAAGCCAGGGGAGCAACGGG
rnacentral:rRNA from 1 species